ensembl:lncRNA
GUAAUUUAGCGUGGCUGUCUGAGACGGCUCUGUGUGCACAGCCCACAGACAGCAGCACCACCACUCUGUUUGCUCCUGCUGCGGCAGCCGGCUGCACCAGCACUGCACCGCGCUGCCCCACACACAGCCUGGCGUGCAGCAUGGCUCCGUCUGCAGCAGGCCAUCUCCCCAACGGACACCAAAGUUCCUCAUGCCUCUCUUUUUCAGUCCAAAUGUGACCUUGUUUCAUAGCCUUGCUUCUGCCUCUUUCUCUUCUGCUCCAGCCUGCCUCACUUAAAUCCUCACACUGUCACCGCCGAAAUGUUGCUGCAGAGACCUCGGAAUUCCCCGAGCAUUUGAUUUCAAGGGGUUAUUUCACAGGUAAGGAAUGCAGCCCUCUGCCUCCAUCGCACAUCUCCUUCCCCCACCAGGGGCCGGC